rnacentral:rRNA from 1 species
GACGAACGCUGGCGGCGUGCUUAACACAUGCAAGUCGAACGGAAAGGCCCUGCUUUUGUGGGGUGCUCGAGUGGCGAACGUGUGAGUAACACGUGAGUAACCUGCCCUUGACUUUGGGAUAACUUCAGGAAACUGGGGCUAAUACCGGAUAGGAGCUCCUGCUGCAUGGUGGGGGUUGGAAAGUUUCGGCGGUUGGGGAUGGACUCGCGGCUUAUCAGCUUGUUGGUGGGGUAGUGGCUUACCAAGGCUUUGACGGGUAGCCGGCCUGAGAGGGUGACCGGCCACAUUGGGACUGAGAUACGGCCCAGACUCCUACGGGAGGCAGCAGUGGGGAAUAUUGCACAAUGGGCGGAAGCCUGAUGCAGCAACGCCGCGUGCGGGAUGACGGCCUUCGGGUUGUAAACCGCUUUCGCCUGUGACGAAGCGUGAGUGACGGUAAUGGGUAAAGAAGCACCGGCUAACCACGUG